GGCUGGGUAGCUCAGUAGUGAGAGCACUGCACCAGAACGGCAGGACCCCAGGUUCAAUCCCUGGUCUAGCCA